UUUUCCUGUAUUUUUUUUUUCUUUCUCUGUUUUCUCCUUCGUCUUUUUUUCCCGUCGUGUUUUUCUUUUCCCUCUCUCCAAAACUUUUACGCCAAAACCAUCUCAAACCCUAAACGCCUUCCUAAAUCCCUCUCUGCACUGCACACCCUAUGAUCUCUUCACGAUCUCGGUGACGCCUCUCCCUCACCCGAUCUGCACCACUUCUUCCUUCCUUUUUACUACCUCCCCAAUCGGCUCUUCUCCUCUCCCUUCUCCACCGGCAUUCCCCCUUGGCCUAUCUCCCUCCUCCCUCCUCCCUCCUCCCUCCUCCCUCCUCUAAGAUCCGACAUACGGGUGGGAUGUGAUCAUCGAGGCAGUCACUUCCUUGGACCGUCUUCGACGAUGGGUACAGCGUUGGCAUUACAGCAGGGCCUCCUAGCAGCAUGCAUCGUCCUACCUCAAGAUCAUGGCGAUGGCAUCCAGGUUGUUGUUGGCUUCGAGGGCUGCCUCCUACCUCAAGAUCUCCACUUGCCCUAGAGCCUUCUCCACAUGAUGGGGAGGGGGGGAGAUCGAACAUCGACAUUCAACACUUAUCCUUGAAAACUGUAACCAAAAUUGCUUCUCCAAGGGCUGCGUCAGCACCUCAGCUUCUUGCAUAUCCUCCGGCGCCGAAUUGCUCAUUGGAUGGGUUCUCGAAGGUACCGAACACAGAGAAUGCCACCGCCGUGGGGAAUAGGACGCUCGACGAGUGCUGAGACUUUUGCUACUGGAAUUGUUCUUGCAUGAUGUGGUGAGGCGAUUUGAUCGACAUGAGGACGUUCUCACAAGGCGGUGACGAGCUUUUUGUUAGCCUUGUUACAGCUCUUGACAUCUAUAAGCACACAUCAAAAUCUCUCCUUUCCUCUUGUUUUUAUCAAAAUCAAAAGGUUUCAGAACUUAUUGCGCAAAUUAUGAAAAGCAAUCUAAGAGGUUCAUGAAGAUCAUAGCCAUUGCUACAACUUUAGGCAUCCUUUUGUUAUCGAUCGUGUCUGUGUUCAUUUAGUGGAGAUGGAAAAGAAUCAAAAGUAUGUAUGCUCAACCACUCAUGUUAAAUAUUGCCGACUAGGUGUAUGACGAAAUGUCCUUAUGAGUUAUACUUGUUGGUUGGUAUUUAUUUUUCACAUACUGAAAGCUCUUUAUGAUAAAUGAUCAAUCACAAUGCAAUAGGAGAAGAUUUUGAAUCAAAGCUACUAAAAUUAACAUUGCAGUUCCAUUACCAGAGUGGGAGUUUUUCAGAUGGAAGUAGUACAUCAGGAUGAUGAAUUGGAAGGUUAGUGUUGAAUGGAGAUAUCCAACUGCAGAUGGAUAGGUGGAUGUUUCAACUAAAGAUGGAUUGGUUUCACAUGUCAAUUAAUCUUUAAAUCUGUAUGAUAUCGGGUUAACGUUUGUGUUAAUCAAUGUAUCUAUCAUUUUGGUCACAUGUCAAUUAUCUUCAAAUCUAGAUGAUGUCGGGUAACGUUUGUGUUAAUCAAUGUAUCUAUCGUUUUGGGAACUGUCUUCGAAUCUGGA